UACGUAGGGGGCGAGCGUUGUCCGGAAUCAUUGGGCGUAAAGCGCGUGUAGGCGGCCCGGUAAGUCCGCUGUGAAAGUCCAGGGCUCAACCCUGGGAUGCCGGUGGAUACUGUCGGGCUCGAGUCCGGAAGAGGCGAGUGGAAUUCCUGGUGUAGCGGUGAAAUGCGCAGAUAUCAGGAGGAACACCAAUGGCGAAGGCAGCUCUGGGACGUGACUGACGCUGAGACGCGAAAGCGUGGGGAGCAAACAGG
rnacentral:rRNA from 1 species